GGAAGUGGAUGGAGCAGCACCCAAAUAGCAAAGCCUAAUUAAAUAUUGGGCCUUACGCGGGUCAAGCCUAUUGGGUUCUCUUCGCUGAUCCGAGUGCAUCGUGUCUUCCGUGUUUGGCUUUUUUAGGCUUGACUAACAAAUAACCCUAAUUGUCCCUUGUUUCUCCAAAGGUCGUAUAAUUGUACUCUUAUAUCAUCAAAUAGGCAAACAGAAAAGGGCAAAAAUCUACCGGAUUUAUUGCCAGUAAUUUCUUUAACGUGCUCACAUGCCAC
rnacentral:lncRNA from 1 species